UACGUACUGCGCGAACGUUAUUCGGAAUCACUGGGCUUAAAGGGUGCGUAGGCGGCUUAUCAAGCCCGUGGUGAAAUGUCCCGGCCUAACCGGGGACGUGCUUCGGGGACUGAUAGGCUUGGGCGAUCUAGGGGUCUGUGGAACUCCCGGUGGAGCGGUGAAAUGUGUUGAGAUCGGGAGGAACGCCGGUGGCGAAAGCGACAGACUGGGGAUUGGCCGACGCUGAGGCACGAAAGCUAGGGGAGCGAACGGGAUUAGAUACCCGCGUAGUCCCUGAGCGGGCU
rnacentral:rRNA from 1 species